CAAGGAGUUUUCCGCAAUGGGCGCAAGCCUGACGGAGCAACGCCGCGUGGGGGAUGACACCUUUCGGGGCGUAAACCCCUUUUCUUGGGGACGAAGCAGUGACGGUACCCGAGGAAGAAGGCCCGGCUAACUACGUGCCAGCAGCCGCGGUAAUACGUAGGGGCCGAGCGUUGUCCGGAGUUACUGGGCGUAAAGCGCGCGCAGGCGGCGGUUCAAGCCUGACGUGAAAGCCCCCGGCUCAACCGGGAGGGUCGUCGGGGACUGGGCCGCUUGAGGUCGGCAGGGGCUGGUGGAAUUCCCGGUGUAGUGGUGAAAUGCGUAGAGAUCGGGAGGAACACCCGUGGCGAAGGCGGCCAGCUGGGCCGGACCUGACGCUGAGGCGCGAAGGCGUGGGGAGCGAACGGGAUUUAGAUACCCCGGUAGUCCACGCAUAAAACGAUGCAGACUUAGGCGU
rnacentral:rRNA from 1 species